rnacentral:rRNA from 1 species
GUAAUGUCUGGGAAACUGCCUGAUGGAGGGGGAUAACUACUGGAAACGGUGGCUAAUACCGCAUAACGUCGCAAGACCAAAGAGGGGGACCUUCGGGCCUCUUGCCAUCAGAUGUGCCCAGAUGGGAUUAGCUUGUUGGUGAGGUAACGGCUCACCAAGGCGACGAUCCCUAGCUGGUCUGAGAGGAUGACCAGCCACACUGGAACUGAGACACGGUCCAGACUCCUACGGGAGGCAGCAGUGGGGAAUAUUGCACAAUGGGCGCAAGCCUGAUGCAGCCAUGCCGCGUGUAUGAAGAAGGCCUUCGGGUUGUAAAGUACUUUCAGCGGGGAGGAAGGUGUUGCGGUUAAUAACUGCAGCAAUUGACGUUACCCGCAGAAGAAGCACCGGCUAACUCCGUGCCAGCAGCCGCGGUAAUACGGAGGGUGCAAGCGUUAAUCGGAAUUACUGGGCGUAAAGCGCACGCAGGCGGUCUGUCAAGUCGGAUGUGAAAUCCCCGGGCUCAACCUGGGAACUGCAUUCGAAACUGGCAGGCUUGAGUCUUGUAGAGGGGGGUAGAAUUCCAGGUGUAGCGGUGAAAUGCGUAGAGAUCUGGAGGAAUACCGGUGGCGAAGGCGGCCCCCUGGACAAAGACUGACGCUCAGGUGCGAAAGCGUGGGGAGCAAACAGGAUUAGAUACCCUGGUAGUCCACGCCGUAAACGAUGUCUACUUGGAGGUUGUGCCCUUGAGGCGUGGCUUCCGGAGCUAACGCGUUAAGUAGACCGCCUGGGGAGUACGGCCGCAAGGUUAAAACUCAAAUGAAUUGACGGGGGCCCGCACAAGCGGUGGAGCAUGUGGUUUAAUUCGAUGCAACGCGAAGAACCUUACCUGGUCUUGACAUCCACGGAAGUUUUCAGAGAUGAGAAUGUGCCUUCGGGAACCGUGAGACAGGUGCUGCAUGGCUGUCGUCAGCUCGUGUUGUGAAAUGUUGGGUUAAGUCCCGCAACGAGCGCAACCCUUAUCCUUUGUUGCCAGCGGUUAGGCCGGGAACUCAAAGGAGACUGCCAGUGAUAAACUGGAGGAAGGUGGGGAUGACGUCAAGUCAUCAUGGCCCUUACGACCAGGGCUACACACGUGCUACAAUGGCGCAUACAAAGAGAAGCGACCUCGCGAGAGCAAGCGGACCUCAUAAAGUGCGUCGUAGUCCGGAUUGGAGUCUGCAACUCGACUCCAUGAAGUCGGAAUCGCUAGUAAUCGUGGAUCAGAAUGCCACGGUGAAUACGUUCCCGGGCCUUGUACACACCGCCCGUCACACCAUGGGAGUGGGUUGCAAAAGAAGUAGGUAGCUUAACCUUCGGGAGGGCGCUUACCACUUUGUGAUUCAUGACUGGGGUGAAGUCGUAACAAGGUAACCGUAGGGGAACCUGC